rnacentral:rRNA from 1 species
UACGGGGGGGGCAAGCGUUGUUCGGAAUUACUGGGCGUAAAGGGCUCGUAGGUGGCCAACUAAGUCAGACGUGAAAUCCCCAGGCUCAACUUGGGAACUGCGUCUGAUACUGGAUGGCUUGAAUUCGGGAGAGGGAUGCAGAAUUCCAGGUGUAGCGGUGAAAUGCGUAGAUAUCUGGAGGAAUACCGGUGGCGAAGGCGGGUCUCUGGGCCGAUACUGACGCUGAGGAGCGAAAGCGUGGGGAGCGAACAGG